rnacentral:misc_RNA from 1 species
UGAGCCCAAAUAACCAACAGCUCCUGCAUGCAAGAGACAACACAAUUUUAUAAAAGCUUAGAAGAAGAAUUUCUAAUCAUUUGGACAUGGGAGGUAUGAAGCCCUAGCAUCUCAGGAUUUUCAACAAGUUAACGGCCGAUGCUAUUUGCCAUGUACCUAAACAAAACAGUAUGAUGUUCCAUAUUCUUUGAAUUCCAUUAUAUAACAUAACUUUUUGUAAACUUAUUUUCUGUUUAUAGACAAUCCUAAAGCUAAUUAACUUAGAGCAGAAUAAUUUUGAGAGUUUAAAAGGAAAAAUGUUGUCCCCUGCCAGUGAUAAUUCUGUCAAGUAUUCUGACAAAUGCGUUGCCCAGGGACUAGCAGGCCAAGAUAAAACUAUUAUUCUCUUUAGAAGGCAAUAAAGAAAAUAUUGCCAUUUGCCAUUCACAAGCAACUAAUUGCAUCACCAUGCUUUUGCAAGUCACCAGAGAAGUGUAAUCACUUGGCUCAAAGAACCAUAUCAUGGUCCUUAAGCUUAGCAGUAGCAGACUUUAUUAACAUUAAACAUCAAAGCCCCUGCUCCCUACAAGCGCAAAAAGAUUAACUAACAAAAUGAAUAACAAAUCCCCAAGAGAAUAACAUUUGCUUACCUUGCAAAGCAAGACAGGUUAUGAAAGAAUUUAGGUUUGAACAAACAAGCAACAGAAGGCAAAAACAUUUAGGCAUUAAUACAAAAU